CGCUCCGCCUCGCCGCCCUGGAAGCCGCUUCUGGUCCCGGCCUUGCGGCCUGCGGGGGAAGGUCCCCGGAGGAGGUGACGGUAGCAGCGACCCGCGUCCCUGGCCCCCAGGACCACGGCUUCCUUCCUACCAGAUCCAUCUGUCCAUCUGUCUGUGGGGGGUCCACAAUGGCCACCUUUAGCCGCCAGGAAUUUUUCCAGCAGCUGCUGCAUGGCUGCCUCCUGCCUACUGUCCAACAGGGCCUUGACCAGAUCUGGCUGCUCCUUGCCAUCUGCUUUGCCUGCCGCCUCCUUUGGAGGCUCGGGUUGCCGUCCUACCUGAAGCAUGCAAGCACCGUGGCAGGUGGCUUCUUCAGCCUCUACCACUUUUUCCAGUUGCACAUGGUUUGGGUUGUGCUGCUGAGCCUCCUGUGCUACCUCGUGCUGUUCCUCUGCCGACACUCCUCCCACCGAGGCGUCUUCCUCUCUGUCACUAUCCUCAUCUACCUGCUCAUGGGUGAGAUGCAUAUGGUGGACACCGUGACAUGGCACAAGAUGCGAGGGGCCCAGAUGAUCGUGGCCAUGAAGGCGGUGUCUCUGGGCUUCGACCUGGACCGGGGCGAGGUGAGUGCAGUGCCCUCACCUGUGGAGUUCAUGGGCUACCUCUACUUUGUGGGCACCAUCGUCUUUGGGCCCUGGAUAUCCUUCCACAGCUACCUACAGGCUGUCCAAGGCCGCCCACUGAGCCGCCGGUGGCUGAAGAAGGUGGCCUGGAGCCUGGCGCUGGCCCUGCUGUGCCUAGUACUGUCCACUUGCGUGGGUCCCUACCUCUUCCCCUACUUCAUCCCCCUCGACGGUGACCGCCUACUUCGAAACAAGAAACGCAAAGCCAGGGGCACCAUGGUAAGGUGGCUGCGAGCCUACGAGAGUGCUGUCUCCUUCCACUUCAGCAACUAUUUUGUGGGCUUUCUGUCCGAAGCCACAGCCACAUUGGCGGGGGCUGGCUUCACGGAGGAGAAGGACCACUUAGAAUGGGACCUGACAGUCUCCAGGCCAUUGAAUGUGGAGCUACCUCGGUCCAUGGUAGAAGUUGUUACAAGCUGGAACCUGCCCAUGUCUUACUGGUUAAAUAACUAUGUUUUCAAAAAUGCUCUCCGCCUGGGGACCUUCUCGGCUGUGCUGGUCACCUAUGCAGCGAGCGCCCUCCUGCAUGGCUUCAGCUUCCACCUGGCUGCUGUACUGCUGUCCCUGGCAUUUAUCACAUACGUGGAGCACGUCCUCCGGAAGCGCCUGGCUCACAUUCUCAGUGCCUGCAUCUUGUCGAAGCGUUGUCUGCCAGACUGUUCACACCGCCAUCGCUUGGCAUUUUUUGAGCACCUGAUGUAUACACACCUGGCAUUCGUUCUCCCAAUGAACAUUUAUUGAGCACCUGCUGGUUCUAGGUGCUGGAGACAAAGUGGUGAACAAAGCAGGCCAAAAUCCUGGCCCCGUGGAACAAACAAUUUAACAGGGGACAGUAAAGUAAAAAUAAGUCAAUCAAGACUAAUAGUUUGUCAGGUUGUGAGUAGUGCUAAGCAUAGGGGAAAGGGGAUGGGAAGUAUGGUGGUGGUGGUUUCUCUUUUCAGUGGGGAGAUCAGGAAAGCCUCCAUGGCUGAGACAUCUUGUAAGUUCUUUAAGUGAAGGAGAUGAGGGAAGCAUCCCAGGAUAAGGGGACACCCAGCAUAAAGCCCCCUCCACGACAUGGGGACUCUGAGCAACAGUGAGAAGGCCAGCAUGGCUUGAGCAGAUAGUGAGGGGAAGAGGGGAGACAUGGGUCCUCUAGGUCAAGGUGGGAUUUGUUUUUGUUUUGUUGUUGUUUUCAUUCUGUUUGCCAUAAGAAAUACAGACAACCUCACAUUUGUCUCCCUUCUGGCAACGAUGCUCAUCACCAUAAUCCCCGGCUCAAAGCCCUACCAUUCUUGCUCCUCUGCCUGAACGUUCACAUCUCCCCCAACCUGGACGCCCUCAUGGUUACCAGCACCCUCGUCCUUGGAUACCUCUGAGCUCCCAUAAGAGGCUCCCUGAAUCAUCUCUUUCCUAUCUCGGGGGCCUGGGUGUACGAGCCUUAAACUUGCUCUUUGGGGCCCUGGCUAUCUUCCACCUGGCCUACUUGGGCUCCUUGUUUGAUGUCGAUGUGGAUGACACCACAGAGGAGCAGGGCUAUGGCAUGGCAUAC